GACGUAGGGCGCGAGCGUUGUCCGGAUUUAUUGGGCGUAGAGAGCUCGUAGGCGGCUCGUUGCGUCAACCGUGAAAACCCGGGGCUUAACUUCGGGCUUGCGGUUGAUACGGGCGGGCUGGAGUUCGGUAGGGGAGACUGGAAUUCCUGGUGUAGCGGUGAAAUGCGCAGAUAUCGGGAAGAACACCGAUGGCGAAGGCAGGUCUCUGGGCAUUAACUGACGCUGAGGAGCGAAAGCAUGGGGAGCGAACAGG
rnacentral:rRNA from 1 species